AAAACCCAGAAAUAUUUUAUUUUCAAUUUUGUUGGUUGAAAAUGAUAAAUGUGUAAAUACUUAUGUUUAUAAGUGUGUAUAUCGAAAUUCUAUUUGUUUUUGUAGAUAUAAUCAUGUUUUCAGUUGCAUUUACUCGGUUUCUCAUGAAUUUAUGAUGUUGUUGGGUAAUGGAUAUUCCCGUAUUUAUUAUGGUCGGUGAGGGGAGAUGCAAAGAAGAAGAAUAGAAAUUUAAACUAAAGAAAGACAUGUUUGGUCGCUGUGUACGUGUUACGGAAAACAUGACGUACACGGAAUUUGUACGUACACUAAGCGAGGCUUUCAGUUUGAAGUCCACAGAGAUCAAUCCCAUAAUUAGUUACUGGAUGCCCAGAGAGAUGUUAGUGAUGAUAGAUACUAAACGCCCUCCUGUCUACAUUGACAGUCAAGUGGAGUUGAAUACGUUCUUUAUGAUUCGUGGUAGGUAUCCUUCUCUCAACUUGUUUGUCUCUUUCAUUACAACCGUCAAGACACUCAGGAAUAAUGUCUCUAGGGCUCAUGAUGAUGAUGCUGAAAGUGACCGUGUUUCAAAUGUUGAUGAAAAUAAUGAGGCCGUAGAUGAGCAAGACGACGUUGAAGACGAUAAAACAGAUGAGGAUGAAGAGGAGGGGGACAACGAAGAUGGUGAUGGGUAUGAUGAUUAUCAGGGUGACGAUGGAUCUAUGGGGGGAAGUACCCUCGAUCCUACUAAUGAUGGUAGUGAAAGUUGUGGCGAAGAUUAUGAUUACGACAAGUGGAACGAUGUAAUUGUAGAAGAAUAUGGAAUAGGGAAUGUUGAGGAGAACGUCAUUCUCACACCAGGGGAAUUCAGUCGUCUGUUGGCAGAGUGUACGUACACAAGUCAGCGUGUACCUGGCGGAGAUAACAUUUCUCACUCGGGUGACCGUACACCAGAUGUGACUCCAAGAAGUAUGUGUCAACAUCGUUUGUACCAAUGUACGUACACUAUAGAUUGAGAAGUGUUUUUAAGAACAGAAAAUCAUACAACAAACAAUGUCUUAUCUCAGUCACUGCCAAUAUUGGUUUAAUAUUGUAUCAAUAAAUUUUUCUUAGUAAAUUUAAUUCACAAACAAAGAUGUACGUAUAUUAUUACACAUGUACAUACAUUAAUUUACCAACAAAAAUGUACGUACAUUAUUUCACCAUCUAUUUUUAUUUAAUUAUUAUGUAUAUAUUGAGAUUAUUGAGAUAUAAGAAUACGUAAUAAAAUAGUUUGAGUUAUUAGAAAUCGUCCCAUAUACGUUCCAAUAAAUAAUUUCGUGUACGUACACUGUAAAUUGAAUAUACGUACACAGAAAAAAUUCGAUGAAGGGUAUAAUUGUAAUUUUCCAGUCAUCUUCAACCUGUGUAUCCUUUUCUACAAACCUAAUUUUGCGGCCGUCUUUAUCAGUUUUCUCAAAAUCUCAUUUUUGUUUACGUUUUGAUUACUAUUUAUAAAUAAAUCUUGUAAACCUAAAGUGUUUGAAUCUAUGAGCUAUCUUUAGUUUAAAAAGCUAAAGUGUUUGAAUCUAUGAGCUUUUUUUUUUGCAUUUUGUUCAUCUCUGAAAACAAGAAAUUUGUUCCUCAAUUUUGGAGUUCAAUGGAGAGAUGUCAAAAUAUGAAGGAGUGAAUAAUGAAUUUUGAACUUCUUUCUACUUCUCUCUCGAAUUUCUCCGUCUCUUUCUCUUUUUCUUCUUCUUCGAUUUCUUUGUUUCAGUUUUUUUU
rnacentral:sRNA from 1 species